AGGGCAUUUAAAUUAUACGUAUCUCAAGGUGGACAGAGGAAUAACAGAAAAGAAUUUCUUUGGCAUCACACCGAGGUUAAGUGUCCGCAACAAGGAGAUAUGGAGUCUGGUUUUUUUGUUAUGAGAUACAUGUAUGAUAUAGUCAUGCUUUCUAAAAAAAAUCCGAACAUGAAUUUGAAAGUGGGUCUUGGUUCAAGAAGCUAUACCAGAAAGGAAAUCAACGAGGUUCGAGAAUUGUGGGCAAAAUUUUUCUCUUUAGAAUGUCUAUAAUAAGGUAA